GGGUGGCAGCAGUAGGGAAUAUUGCUUAAUGGGCGCAAGCCUGAAGCAGCAACGCCGCGUGUGCGAUGACGGCCUUCGGGUUGUAAAGCACGUUUUAGGUGGGAAGAGGAAGGACGGUACCACCUGAAUAAGCCUCGGCUAACUACGUGCCAGCAGCCGCGGUAAAACGUAGGAGGCGAGCGUUAUCCGGAUUUACUGGGUGUAAAGCGCGUGCAGGCGGUUCGUUAAGUUGGAUGUGAAAGCUCCCGGCUCAACUGGGAGAGGUCGUACAAGACUGGCGGACUGGAGUGUGGUAGGGGAAGGUGGAAUUCCGGGUGUAGUGGUGAAAUGCGUAGAUAUCCGGAGGAACACCAGUGGCGAAGGCGGCCUUCUAGACCACAACUGACGCUCAGACGCGAAAGCUAGGGUAGCAAACGGGAUUAGAGACCCCGGUAGUCCUAGCCGUAAACGAUGUGAACUUGGCGGCGGUUGGGUAAAACCGAUCGGUGCCGAAGCAAACGCGAUAAGUUCACCACCUGGGGACUACGGCCGCAAGGUUA
rnacentral:rRNA from 1 species